rnacentral:rRNA from 1 species
CCUACGGGGGGCAGCAGUGGGGAAUAUUGGGCAAUGGAGGAAACUCUGACCCAGCAAUGCCGCGUGAAUGAAGAAGGUCUUCGGAUUGUAAAGUUCUUUAGUCAGGGAAGAAGUCAAUGACGGUACCUGAAGAAUAAGCUCCGGCUAACUACAUGCCAGCAGCCGCGGUAAUACGUAAGGGGCGAGCGUUAUCCGGAAUUACUGGGUGUAAAGGGUGAGUAGGCGGCUGGGCAAGUCAUAUGUGAAAUACCGGGGCUCAACUUCGGGGCUGCAUAAGAAACUGUCCAGCUAGAGUGCAGGAGAGG